rnacentral:rRNA from 1 species
UACGGGGGGGGCAAGCGUUGUUCGGAAUUACUGGGCGUAAAGGCUCGUAGGCGGCCAACUAAGUCAGACGUGAAAUCCCUCGGCUUAACCGGGGAACUGCAUCUGAUACUGGAUGGCUUGAGUUCGGGAGAGGGAUGCGGAAUUCCAGGUGUAGCGGUGAAAUGCGUAGAGAUCAUGAGGAAGACCAGUGGCGAAGGCGGGUCUCGUGGACAGUUCCUGACACUGGAGAACACGAAGGCCAGGGGAGCAAACGGG